rnacentral:tRNA from 1 species
CCGUGCUCGCCCAGUUCGGCUGCGAGCAGCCGGACCUGGUGGGCCUGGUCCGCUUUGGUGGCGGAGUAGGCGAUGUUGUUCGGUCCGGCAAACACGGA